CGGUGAAAUUUUGUUGAUAAGGUGAAAUUUUUAAUUUAAGGGAAAUUCUUGAAAAAUCUGCUGGAACUAAAAAAUUUAGAUAAAAAACCAGGAUUAGAUACCCUGCUAUUCUAAAUGACACUGUAAAUAGGGUAGUAAAAGUUGUUCUUCAAACCCAAAGAUUUUGGCGGCAUCUUAUCCUAAUAGAGGAGCUUGUCCUAUAAUUGAUAGUCCCCAUUUUAUCUUACCCUUUUUUGUUAAGUUUGUAUACCGCCGUUGUCAGAUUACUUUAAAAGAAUGUUUUCAAGAAAAAUAUUUUUCUUACUUCAGGUCAAGGUGCAGUUUAUAGAAGGGCAGUGAUGAGCUACAAUUUUUAAUAGAAAUACGGAUUUUAGGCUUAAAACCCAGGUGAAGGUGGAUUUAUUAGUAAAUUUACUUAAGUACAGUAGGUUGAAUAGGGCAAUAGGAUGUGUACAUAUCGCCC
rnacentral:rRNA from 1 species